rnacentral:rRNA from 1 species
AGCAGCCGCGGUAAUUCCAGCUCCAAUAGCGUAUAUUAAAGUUGUUGCAGUUAAAAAGCUCGUAGUUGAAUUUCGGGAUUGACGUGACGGUCGUGCCUUAAGGGGUAUGAACUGUUACAGUCAAUUUCUCACCUUCCGGAGAAAUAUGAUGUCCUUAAUUGGGUGUCAUAUGGAACCAGAACUUUUACCUUGAAAAAAUUAGAGUGUUUAAAGCAAGCUUAUUGCUCGAAUACAUUAGCAUGGAAUAAUAAAAUAGGACGGCAUGAUUCUAUUUUGUUGGUUUCUAGGAUCACCGUAAUGAUUAAUAGGGAUAGUUGGGGGCAUUAGUAUUCAAUUGUCAGAGGUGAAAUUCUUGGAUUUAUUGAAGACUAACUACUGCGAAAGCAUUUGCCAAGGAUGUUUCAUUAAUCAAGAACGAAGUUAGGGGAUCGAAGACGAUCAGAUACCGUCGUAGUCUUAACCAUAAACUAUGCCGACUAGGGAUCGGACGAAGUUAAUUUUUAAUGUACUCGUUCGGCGUCCGUUACGG